rnacentral:rRNA from 1 species
CACGUAGGGCGCGAGCGUUGUCCGGAAUUAUUGGGCGUAAAGAGCUCGUAGGCGGCCUGUCACGUCGGCUGUGAAAACCCGGGGCUCAACCCCGGGCCUGCAGUCGAUACGGGCAGGCUAGAGUUCGGUAGGGGAGACUGGAAUUCCCGGUGUAGCGGUGAAAUGCGCAGAUAUCGGGAGGAACACCGGUGGCGAAGGCGGGUCUCUGGGCCGAAACUGACGCUGAGGAGCGAAAGCGUGGGGAGCAAAACAGG